rnacentral:tRNA from 1 species
GAGGGAGUAGCUCAGUUGAUAGAGCAUUAGCCUUCCAAGCUGAGGGUCGCGGGUUUGAGCCCCGUCUUCCGCUCUA